rnacentral:rRNA from 1 species
AGUGAACGCUGGCGGUAGGCCUAACACAUGCUAGUCGAACGGCAGCACAGUAAGAGCUUGCUCUUACGGGUGGCGAGUGGCGGACGGGUGAGGAAUACAUCGGAAUCUACUUUUUCGUGGGGGAUAACGUAGGGAAACUUACGCUAAUACCGCAUACGACCUACGGGUGAAAGCAGGGGAUCUUCGGACCUUGCGCGAUUGAAUGAGCCGAUGUCGGAUUAGCUAGUUGGCGGGGUAAAGGCCCACCAAGGCGACGAUCCGUAGCUGGCCUGAGAGGAUGAUCAGCCACACUGGAACUGAGACACGGUCCAGACUCCUACGGGAGGCAGCAGUGGGGAAUAUUGGACAAUGGGCGCAAGCCUGAUCCAGCCAUACCGCGUGGGUGAAGAAGGCCUUCGGGUUGUAAAGCCCUUUUGUUGGGAAAGAAAAGCAGCAGGUUAAUACCCCGCUGUUCUGACGGUACCCAAAGAAUAAGCACCGGCUAACUUCGUG